ensembl:lncRNA
CAAAGACCCCCGAGUGGGUUGAAACGACGGAUGCAGGGCACUGGGCCCAGGAGAGAGGGGUCAGCCUUUGCUUCCAUAAUAUUGAAAUCACCCACUUGCGUGUCCGUCUUUUCCUCGGGCUGUGACCUCCUUCAAUGGUCUGUGUCCCACUCGUCUUUCAGUCCCUCCUCCCCAUCGUCUAGCAGGGCGCCUGGCUCCCUAUAAGUUUAGCUCAAUAAAUGUUAAGUUGAACGGCGGCAGAUCUUUGCAUCGGUCCAAUCCCGAGCUUCUGUACAGAAAGCAAGAUAAACACGUUCCACUCAGGGGGCCGGCGUUCUCUUGUUCCUUUGGAGGGGCUAUGGGGGAUUCAGGGGGUACUUUAAUACUCCCGAGUGGAGGGAGCUGUCAGACAGCCGGCCCUCUGCAAGGGACAGUCGAAGGAGUUGGGAAGGUGCGUGCGCCCCUCUCACCAGGCCCGCGGAUGCUGGGUGGUACCCAAGGAGGCGCUCGGAUGGGUCACUACGGAUGGAGCUAAGCCAGGGAUCUUCUGCACGAACUUCUCCCAUCUCAGAGCAUCCUCGUCCUUCUAUGUCACUGAACUGGCCGUCUCCAUCUGGCAACUGGGAAGAGUCUGCCUCCAGGGCGCCGGGGGUGGGGAGGAGGGCAGAGCGCAGGAUUGCGGAAUGCGCGGCGCACACGCGAGCGGGCAUCACCGCGGGCUUCGCGCCGGCUCGCUUAGGCUCCGGCGCGGGCGCAGCCAGGACCCCGGCCCGGUGCGGAGCGCGCCCUCCCCCACGCCAUCUGGGCCUCCGGCGGCCCAGGCCCGUCCCGCCUCCCCGAGGCCUUCCGCGGCUCGGUGUCCCACGCUGCCCCGGCGGCGGGCGGACGGCAGCGCGGGCCGCCGGUGAGCCGGGGCGAGCGGGGGCCGAGGACGCACGCGGCCGGACGGGCGGCGCGCGCUCCCCUCCCCCGCCCCGGCCGGCAGCGCGAGCCGCCGUUGACGUCACGGGCGCCCGCCUGCCCUGCGCUCCACUGGGCAGAGCGUGCGCGGCCGGCCGCCGAGCACAUGGGCCCGCGGGCCGGCGGGCUCGGGGCGGCCUGGCCCGGGAGGAGCGGCGAGGGGGCGCCAGCAAGGAUGGGCCGCGGCACCCCCGGCCCCCGGCGAGUGGAUUUCCACGCGGGAAGGAGGUUGGCGGCGCCGGUGACCUUCGGAGACACGGCUGGAUCCACCUUCCACUCUACCCAGCAGAGAAGGGGGUUGUAUGGAUCCUCUGAACCCGGAGUGGAACUUCCCGAAAGAUUUAUUAGGAGAAAAACCUUCCUGGAAGCCGCAGCAGGACAAACACAGAAUUGCUGGCUGGGCAGAGCCUCGUGGCCUGGUCCCCACUAUUUGAGAAGAGUCACAUCUCGGAGGACCUGGAGACACAAAGAUGGAGAGACCCAGUCUGUGGGGAUGCAGAGGUGAAAGAAGCAGAAUAUAAAGGCAGUGAUGAUUAGAGCGCCAUUAAUUUGGAAGGUGGAAACAUUGGUGAACAGUAUGUACAUCAUUCUGCAUCUGAAUGGCCUUCCCCUCGCAUCCCAGCAGUAGACGCUGAUCACGGGUCCUUUCUGCACAGCUCUCUGUUCGCCCUGGGAUUUCAGAUUGCCUCCUCUUGAACUACUGAUCUGUAGCCUCCUCUUGUUGAACCUAGCUGUUUGAUUGAAGUCUCUCCCCUCAUUUUUCCCCAGCCCCGUGUCUCAGAUCGCUCCCUUGGGGACCCCCCCUCCCCUCUGUGUUCUGGUUCCUGUGGACCUGCUGUGGUGUUGCGGCUCCCGGGACUUCCCUUCUCUGCUUUCCACAGCUCUUCUGGGCUUGAGCCCCUUUUUACUGGGCUCCCCAUCAAUCUCUUUCUGAGUUGCCUCCCUGAUUUUGCAGGAUCAUGUAACUUGUUAGGAGCAUCAUCUGAAAACUGAGUAAAUUAUUCUCCAUCUCAUAUUACACCCAUUGCUCAUUUUAUCCAGGAACAUGGGUCCUCAUUUCUUUCAAAUAAUGCUUAUUUUUGUAAGGAUAUUUUUUCUUCUGGAAAAUUUGGGAAAUGUUAAGAGUACAAGGAAGAAAAUAAUAUUAACACAUUUCACAGUGUUUUUUUCUUUGCCUAUUUCUUUUAAAUAUGAGAUCAUCUGACAAUUUUAUUGGAUUUUUCUCUUAAUGUAAUAGAAGUAUUUCCACAUGGUGUUAAAAGUGUACUUUUAAGUAUCAUUUUUAUGCAACAGAAUGUUGUAAUAUCCCAUUGCAAUGAUAGUUUAUUUUCCCAAUUUUACCAGUAAUUUUAAGAAUAUUUCCUGUAGUUUUCUCUCAUAACUAUUGGAAAUGAUGCAGCGUCGGUGAGCGGAGGAUUCAAAAGAAAGAUUUCUGGGACUCUCAAGAUCUGGCGGUAGUGCUCUUUUAUUUAGAGAAUAGUGUGGAAUAGCAUGGGGACAGGACCCAUGGGCAGUCUGGCUGCUGCGUGGGGACAGGGCCCACGGGCAGGAGGAGGUGCUGCUGCCGCUGCUUCUGCUGCAAACAUGGGUGGAGAGUAAGGUUAGAUUUAAGGCAUAGGUAUGUGAGCCAUCUCUUUACAAGACAAAGGAAAGAACAUGUAAAAAAGUCAAAAUGGUAUCAGCGCAGGUGGGGUCUGGCCACUGGGCGGUCCCACAACUUUUAGAUAAGAAUCAAAUCGGAUUAAGUAAAGGCCAGAAGCCACCACCCUAAAUCAGUUACAUGAGGUUGACAGACCGUAACCAACUUAAGUCCUUGCCUUCCCCAUUAAGAGUUUCCAGAGAUAAGGCCAUCCCACCUUCCUCCUGGUGCAGAGGGGGAGGCAUGGAGAUUUCCUUCACAAAUGCAAAUAUCUCUCAUCAAAGAGCAAGCAAAUUCCAGUCCUUGGAGCCUGCUUCUCCUCUGCAGUUUUAAAAUUAACUAGCCUAAAAUCCUCAUCACUAAGAUGUGUGGUUUUGUGUGUGUGUGUAUGUAUGUGUGUGUGCACAUGUGUGAAUAAACCUAUUUCCAUCUUUCAGAUUUCCUUAGGAUAGAUUUCUGGAAAAGGUUCUAGACAUUUUUAAGGCUCUCGAUGCAUAUUGUUAAAUUGCUUUGACAUUUAGUUUUGCUAGAUUGCAGCCACAAGAUGAUGUCAAACAUCUUCCCCGCACAGAGUUGCUUUCUUGUUAAGCGGGGUUUCUGAGACCAGGGAGAGGUGGGUCCUGUGGAGGGGAAUGGGAGAGCUCUUCAGCAGUUCUCACUGUUUUCUCCUUGUGAUUUUGGGUUUCCCUUAAAUACAGCACUUUGCUGCUUGGGAAGUGGGAGCAGCUGCUCAGGACUGCAUGAAGUUUAUGCCCUGAGGUUUGCAUGAUUGAGUGGGAGAAUCCUGGCCUGAGCCUGAGGACCAUUUGCCGUCAGCCUCGCCUAUGAGAACUCUGGAAGGCCCCUCAGCUUCUGUCGUUCUGCUUUCUUGUUGGUUAAGGGUGGAUCUUGACACCUACUUCAGGGAUGCUGGAGGUGAAACGAGCUACUAUAAAUCUGACUGCUCAGCAGGGUAGCUUCCUAGUUUGGACUCCUCAAAGUCGGAAGGGACCCAUCCAAGCUCGUCAUUUGAUGGAUGACAAAGUCAGGCUCCAGAUGGUGAGUAGUUCUUUGGGAAUUUUCUCACUAUUUCCAUUUGUGUGCCAAAGGAAGAACACACACAUACACACACACAUGCUUGUAUGCACAGAUUAGAUCUGGAAGGAUACACCAAAAAAAAAAAAUGAUAAUAGCGACUGCUACGGAGGAGGCUAACUGGGGGCCUUGGGGGGGAAGAGGGAAGCUUACUGGUGUCUCUGUGACUCUUCAUUCUGUUGGAAAUUUUACUGUGUGCACGUAUUCGUUCUUCAAUUAAUAAGAAACAAGUUCUUAAAAAUCCACCAAGUAGUAAAACAUCUUUGAAUGCAUUCUGCUUCCUAAUGCAUCAAUAAGGAGCCCUGGGAGCACUCAGAACUCUGUUUGUUUUAUAAUUGCCCAUCUGAACCCAAGUCCCCCGAAUCCCAGGCCAGAGGGCUUUCUUCCACUCACACAGACCGUCUCCCAUCCCUUUGCUGGCCUUCCUUUUUUCCUUUCUGCCUUCUGGAAUCUGCCAACUGAAGUCCUAGACACCCAGCCCCUGGUCCCCAGGCAGCUGACCACCCUCUGGUCCACUCUCUGAAAUUGCCUGUAUGGGGGAGCCCUGGGCCUGACUGAGCAGGCCUGAGGCUGGAGGCCCUGGCCUCUCCUCCCCAGCCCCCUUCCUGGCCCGGCGCCUCCAGUGCAGAAGGAAGAGUCUGUGCAGCCUGUUCUCUCUCCUCCUUUGAACCAGGGCCCGUUCCAAGAAUCGCAGCGCUGUUUUGCCUGCACGGCAGGGUUGCGUGGCCCUCCCAGGCCUCAUGCGCCGAGUUGGCAGCUCCCUGGAAAAAUUUCUUCUCCCCUUUCUUUCUGGCACGGAGGGUGGAUUCCCUGCCCCGCCCUGGACAGUGCAUCUCAGGGGUCAUUUGAGUUGAAUCCUGAUGGAGCAUCUUGCUCUGCGGCCCCAGCGGGGCAGGAAGCCUGAAACUCUGAUCUUCCUCCCUCCCAAAAGCCUUGGAUCUGCAUCCUGGCCCAGAGCCCCCUCCCCUCCUUCCACUCAGCCCCCUCCCCUCCUUCCUCCCCAGCCCCCUUCUCUCCUCCCCCCCAACUCCCCUUCCCCAUUGCCACAGCUGAGGAGCCAGGCUGUUAUCGCCCAGUGACCACUCUUUGAAGGCUGUGGAGUUCCAUGGUGAGCAGUUUUUUUCUACCCAGGGACCAAUUCAGGAAACAUAAAAGCAUUUAUAGGCCACUUUUGUUUAUCCAUUCAAAAUGAAAAUGGCCAUAUUGAUGCCAUGGCCCGGGGUGGGCAGGAGAGCGUUGUGUCUCCUCACAGCUUGGAUUGUCCACUUUAUGAGAAAGAAGGCCCUUAUUAAGAAGUGCCAGUGCUGUCUGCCAUUCACACCUGGGCACAUUUCAGCAAAGCAGAGCCAACUGCCUCCUCUUUUCAUUCUCAAAGCAGACUUCAGGCCAAAUGAUCUUACUAUUUAUCUAGUUCUUUGUGGUACAGAUGAGGGAAACUGAGGCCCAGAGUGGACAUAACAUUCCCGAGGGAGAGACUUUGUAAGGUUCUGGGUAGUAAGACUUAUUAUUAUUGAUAACAACAACGACAAUAAUAAUAAGAAGCAGUAAUAGCAGUCACAAAGCAUGGGGCUUUUACUUUUCAGAUGGGACAGUGAAGGCUGGUGGCUUCUCUCUCUUCUGCCAGCAGCACAAGCCCUGUGGUGUUUAUAUUUCUCCUUGGCCAGGGAUGUAUUUUGAAAUUUAAAUGAUAAAGCAAACAAACUCUGUUUUCACUGAAGCUUUAGAAAACCUGCGUGAAACCUCUCCACCGUGGUUGGUGGUUUUGGAGCCAAGAUUGGCCAAAUUUCCCUUUCAACGUGGGGAGAGGGGGGCAUUAAGGACAGUCCAUCCACAGAGCGUGAAUGACGGCAUUCAUCUUGAUUGAGCUCAGCGAAUGAGCGCGAGGAUGAUGCGUGCCCCGCCAAACUCACCCUUUUAUGUAUGUGCUGGUGGCCAAUUUGUCUUUGCUCAAAAUGGAAAGCUGACAAGAUGGGCUAUUUUUCCUGUUAAAAAUAAUCACAUGCCAGAUGCUGUUCCAAGUUCUGCACCUCAACCAGUUAAAGAUUUUUGGAUGUUUUGCCCAGUGCCUGUUCAGAAGGACAGUCCUGCCCCAGGCCUCUCAGAGAUUGCCUGCAUUCUUCUCCUGACACUGGAAUGCUGCAUUGACAGUGGCUCCAGGGGAGUUGAGCGCUCCUCCCUCCUGCUCUCUGCUCCAGCCCAGCUGACCAGGCCUUUUACGUGCAUAAUAUUGAAUCUUCGUGGUAGCCCUGGAAAAACCAAAGUGAUUCUCCCCAUUUUAUAGAUGAGGAAACUGAGGCCUCAGAGAUGUAAAGGACCUUGCCCAAGGUCACGUGGCUGGCACUUUGGGUUUUUAAGACGAAAGCUGGAAAACUGUUUUUCCCUUUGAUGGCCCUCGGCACGGAAUUUGUUAAUGCCCGGCUACAGUGGCGGUGCCGGGCUCUUUGCCGGAGGGCCGUGUUUCUGAGGUGCAGUGUGCUGCUCCCAGCUCCCCUGAAGAUCUUCUGUCCCCUUCUUCCAGAGUAGUCCCGUCUGGGCCUGCAGAAA